rnacentral:lncRNA from 1 species
UUCUUUUCUGUUGGCAAUGUGUGCGUUGAAAUCACCACCAAUAAGAAUGUGUGGUGUUUGUGUAUAGGCCUGAAAAAUCUCCUCACCUAGAGUGAAGUAGAGAUUAUCGAUUUGUUCUGGGGAAGUAUUUUGGCUCUCAGGGUUCACAUGUGAAGCACAUAAGUAAACAUCUCUUUCCAGCCCGAACAGUUCCGCAUGUGCCCUAACCCAAAUAGUUUGUAAUUGAUCAG